CAACUCCCACCCCACGCACUCAGAAAAUCGCGACCGCAGCGCCCCCCCUCCGAUCCCAUCCCCGAGCCGCCGCCACUCGCAUCGUUCCCGCAGCCCCCUCUGGCCCUCUCCUCCUCCGUCGCGCCGCCCCGCCCCUGCUCUCCUCCGCCCCUCGCCUCCCCUCUGCCCCCCAUAUCCGGCUCUCUCCGCGCGAGCUCGCCAACGGGCGCCGUGGCCCCUGCAGGUUGCUGCCCAAGCUCUCCUCCGCAGCACCGUCGACCUCCCCCCUUCCUCGUGCCACCCUACUCCCAGCCUCAGAUCUGCGGCGGCAGGGUGCGCGCUUGGCGGCUGCGGCACCGUGCGGGCGGGGCAGCGGCAGGGUGCCACCGUAAGAAUGAUGCUAGAGAGUGAAUUGACAAGCCUGAAGAGAUACAGACACUCUGUAAGGCACUACUUUAUUGCAAUCAUUUGUUCUUUUUAGGGCCCCUAUACGUGUACUGCAAUUUAGGGGUAGUUUUAAUUUUGCUGUCAAAUCUCAAAUGUAGAUUGAUCUUGUCAGACCUGGAGAUAUUUAAAAGCUAAAAGUAGUUGCAAUACUUGUAUAUAUUUUCUGAAUAAUUAUGUUGGACAAACACUGUUUUCGUUUGAUACAUCAACUGCAGAGGUGGAUGUCAAAUCUUUUCUAGCAAUAGCUCAAGUUUAGCUUCCAUCUAUAAAUGUAAGUUGCGACUAAGUCGUUGAAUGCUAAAAGUCUGUACACACUUUACCUCUUUGUAUCAUUUGCGAGUUGAUUGUUGUACAGUGCAGAACGGAUAAUUCACCGUGUAUUUUUUCAGAAAUAUAUGCCUCAAGUCAGCAUGUGUAUUGUGUACGAAAUUAACUCUCCUUUUUGGACAUAAGGAAUUUAGCUUGGGAACAAUGCUAUGAUCCAUCUUUGUAUGCUAGAAUAAUACAUAGUAGAAUGUACAAAAAUGUGGGUUCUGUUUGGAUAACUACAUGUGUAAUACUUUGGAUAACCAUAAAUCAAUAUCUUUAUUUUUCUAUGUCUAGCUCAUGUGGUUUCACUGAAUCAUAAUGGUUCAGAAUUAGUAACACAUGUAAAUAGCUACCACAUAUUUCAGGUUAGUGUGUCAGUUUGAUUGAUUAAUUUUGUGAAAUUGUAUUGAAGUUAACUCUUCAUAUAUCGACUUGUAGGAUUGUCAGUGCUUAUUGUAGAUUGCAUAUUUAUGAAUUAUGACUAUGCUCACUUGAGAAAACUAAUUUUUUUUCAUUUACCAUCUACUCCACUUGUGUAGAAAACAUAGUACAGAUGAUGUGGUUUGGGGUAUCAUGGGGGUGGCUGAACUAAUGUCUCCCAGUCCUGGAAAUUUGUUUAGAUAGGGUUGUGAUGUAUGGAGGACCAUAUGCAUGUAAAUUGAACUGAUUCAGUUUGUUGGUUACAUAAUCUGGAAGCUGAAUGUUUGAUUUUCUAGCACAAGUCUGAACUGAAUGGUAGUAACUCUGACUACGCAUUGGCUUUUCUGAGAAAUAUUUGACGUAACAGGACUGAUUUAUUAAUUUUUCUCAUCAUCGAUGCACAUGCUGGAUGGCUUCACUAGACAUAGAAACACCUGUGUUUGUUUGAGGUACAUCAAUAUUACAUCAUGCUUUAAAUAUCUUUACAGUAGUCGGAUACCAAAGACAUAACCUUGCAUAUUCAGAUGCAAUAUAUUUGGGCAAGUUUAUGGAUUUUGUGGCUCAAGAACAGCACAGUAGUCGGAAUUUGAUUUAUUUUGUGGCCAAAGACAUAACCUUGCAUAUUCAGACGCGAUCGGCGGGCGCCCACAACUGGAAUCAAAGUACUGCCCUAAAAAUAUCUUUACAGUAACCUUGGCCUGAACUACAAAGACAUCUAAGCAGAAGGUUAAAAGGGAUUUUGAAGCUUAUGAGCAAAGGGUAAGUAUACAUGGCAAAUACCAGUGCAGGUGAAGUGAUUCUUCAUUGGUAAGGUUUUCAAUUGUUAUAAAAUUGGUAAACCAUCAUGGGUUAACAUUUCUAUAGGGCAUUGAAGUGAAGGACAACGGAUUUUGAUGGCCGUGCGGUCUUAUCCCAAUAUGGUCAAUACUGGCAUAACAGUUGGCUCUUCCUCUGUCUGUAGGCAACACGCCAACGGCACGUAGGCGUCAGCAGAUUCAUGUAUCAUAUGCCUAGGAGGUACAUGUGUUGUUGUCCCUGUUGGUGUUGAUGGACCACGGUGGUGUUCCCCGCUGAGCUCCGCCAUCCGAUGCAUGCCCCUCGCCAAUCUCUUCGGACAAACUCGCCAUCGACAUCUCCUUUUUCCUUUUUUUGUGAUAUUUUCCCUUUUGAUGUUUUUUGUUUACAUAUUUAGGAAUAUACGAAUAUAGAAUUGCUUAGUGUUUAUGAAAAAAUUGUGCUAUUGUGUCUGUUUUAUAUUAUUGUGGAGUGACUGUUAUCAAAGGAGUUGGGAUUAUUGUGUGGUUAUCUGGAAGAGCUAAUGUUGUACUAUACAACUUUAGCAAUACAUGUGUAAAUCGGUUGCCUUAAAAAUGGACUUUUAUUCCUAAA